rnacentral:tRNA from 1 species
UGGCCUGUAGCUCAGUGGUUAGGGUGCCCGCCACAUACACCGGAGCUGGCGGGUUCAAACCUGCCAGGCCUG